CAGCCGCCGCGGUAAAACAGAGGGUGCGAGCGUUAAUCGGAUUUACUGGGCGUAAAGCGUGCGUAGGCGGCUUUUUAAGUCGGAUGUGAAAUCCCUGAGCUUAACUUAGGAAUUGCAUUCGAUACUGGAAAGCUAGAGUAUGGGAGAGGAUGGUAGAAUUCCAGGUGUAGCGGUGAAAUGCGUAGAGAUCUGGAGGAAUACCGAUGGCGAAGGCAGCCAUCUGGCCUAAUACUGACGCUGAGGUACGAAAGCAUGGGGAGCAAACAGGAUUAGAUACCCCCGUAGUCCCUGUCUCUUAUAC
rnacentral:rRNA from 1 species